rnacentral:lncRNA from 1 species
CAACGACCCCAACAUCCGCUCCUUCACCUUCCGCUACAUCCGCGUUUACACUGCCAGCGCCGACAUCGACCGCCACCCCUUUGACGUCAUCGCCAAUUCCCUCUCCUUGGCCCUCGUCCAUUACUACCCUCUCGCCGGCACCCUUCGCCCCGUCGGCAAAAGCAGCAGCAAUCAGCGCCUCUCCCUCUUUUGCCAGUCCGGCCAAACUUUCCCCCUAGUCAACGCCACUGCUGAUUGCACUCUUGAUUCUUUGGAUUACGAUUCGGAUUCCCUGGAGCAGUUGGUGCCCGCACCUACCCUGGAGGAGGGGCUUGCUAAUCCCUGCAUUUUACAAGUCACGGUUUUCAAGUGUGGUGGCUACACAUUGGGGACUGCGGUUCAUCAUUCUAUGUGCGAUGGAAUGGGUGCCACUCUGGUUUUUGGCGCUGCGGGUGAGCUGGCACGCGGGGCGACUAAAAUUUCCGUCCAACCUGUUUGGGACCGGGCGACUUUGUUGGGUCCGAGAC